GAUGAAGAACGUAGCGAAAUGCGAUAAGUAAUGUGAAUUGCAGAAUUCAGUGAAUCAUCGAAUCUUUGAACGCACAUUGCGCCCCUUGGUACUCCGAGGGGCAUGCCUGUUCGAGCGUCAUUAUAACCCCUCAAGCUCAGCUUGGUGUUGGGGCCUGCUGCACUGGCAGCCCUUAAAAUCAGUGGCGGCGCCAUCUGGCUCUAAGCGUAGUAAUUCUUCUCGCUAUGGAGUCCUGGUGGAUGCUUGCCAUCAACCCCCAAUUUUUCUAUGGUUGACCUCGGAUCAGGUAGGGAUACCCGCUGAACUUAAGCAUAUCAAUAAGCGGAGGA
rnacentral:misc_RNA from 1 species